UACGUAGGGGGCAAGCGUUGUUCGGAAUUACUGGGCGUAAAGGGCGCGUAGGCGGCACGGCAAGUCGGGAGUGAAAGGCCUGGGCUCAACCGAGGAACUGCUUUCGAGACUGCCGAGCUAGAGUGCGGAAGGGGCAUCUGGAAUUCCCAGCGUAGCGGUGAAAUGCGUAGAUAUUGGGAAGAACACCUGAGGCGAAGGCGGGAUGCUGGGCCGACACUGACGCUGAGGCGCGAAAGCCAGGGGAGCAAACGGG
rnacentral:rRNA from 1 species